rnacentral:lncRNA from 1 species
UUCUUUUUUUUGUUGAUGCAGGAGAAUUUUGUUGGAGUUUGGCCUUCUUGUUGGACUAACUGGCGAGGAAAUUUUAACAUAUUUUUCUAAUGACACCCUUGGUGAGUCAGGAAUCAUAGACUUUUUCGUGCACUGCAUGCGACAUGAUGAUAUUGUGCACAAGGUUGAUUCUUGUGGAUACAGAGCGUUUCUGACCACUGGUUUUUAUGUAAGUUUCUUCUCCAAAACCAUGUAUUUUUUGUAUACUGUCUUGCAUUUAUGUGUUUAAACUAAUUUAAUCAUUUAUCAUUUCUCUUUUUUAUUUAUUCUCCAAACUGGAAAACACAUACAGUUCAAUGUAUCAACGUGUGAAGCAGUACUCAACGCUGAUAAAUCUGAGACGGAAGAAUUCAUAUAUGUAUGGAAUAAUCUGAUGUCUGAGUGCGAAAACUAUGAUUUGUCAAGAGCAAAAUUGGUUAGCAGACCUUUUCCCCAACCCACUUUUUUCAUACCUACAAUUUUUUACUUUCCAUCAUUUACAGUUGCAAUCACCAGGACACAUACUUUGCAAUUGUCUAUACUUUUUUCUUGCAACUUCUUUUUUCAUAUAUGUUUUCCAUUUUUAGUAAUUAGUUUUCUACUCCUUUCUUGCACCAGGUUUUUGUCCCUAUCAAAGAUGGUGCUCACUAUUUUGUAUAUUGCUUCAAUUUUAUCCAUAAGCGUAUUGAUGUGCUGGACUCGAACGACUACUUCCUGAAUUGUUCUAAUCAGGAAGAACGGCACAAGGCUGUCUUUGCCAAAAUCCCAAUCAUUGAUGCAGCCUUCCAGAAAGUUUCCAACCUCAAGUUACCCAGAGUUAGCAAGUGGAGGCGGUCUUUUAUUGAUGUGCCAAAGCAAGCAGGUCAAAGCGAUUGUCUUUUUUUUGUAUGGAAGUACAUGGAAUAUUAUGAUGGGGACAAAAUGACCAAGGAAAUCAAUCCGGUUAGCCAUGCUGUCAACUGAUUUUCUAUCUGUUUUGGUGCUUUUUUUGUGUGUUUUCUAUGUGUGCAUCAUAAUAUAGUCACUGACCAUUAUGAUGUUUUUAUGCCAUUGCAGUUCAAGGGCCUGAUAUACAGAUGUGAGCUGUUGCAUUACGAGAUCUUCCACCCUUUGAACCAAGCUGAAAUUCCUGGUUCGCUUGAUAAGUUUAGAAUUGGUGGUCGUCCGUUGCCAAUUGAAUGGGAUAGUAGUCAGUCGAACAAUUAGAUUCAUGCAAAAACAAUCUGUUGUGUUAUGCAGUAGUCAGAAACAAUCAGUUGUGUUAUGUUAUCUCUAGAAACAAUCCAGUAAUGUUGUUUAGGUUGCAACCAGCGCACUGGUUCUAUUUGCAACUGGUCUAUUCAUCUAGUUGUUAUCGUACUCUAAACUGCAGUUUCCAAUUUUGUUUGAAAAAUCCCAGCCAUUGCAGUUGCAACCAAUGUAUAUGUUUGUGUUCUGUACCCACCGGCGAGGUGGAGCCCUUCCAUAUGAGGCAGUUGCAACCAGCGUAUAUGUUACAGUUGCAACUGAAAUUGUAAUCGUAGUUGCAACUGACCAUGACCACUCAUUUUUAUUUCUAUGUUUGGUAACCAGCAUGAUGGCAAACUUUGCAAACCUGUUUAUGAGUAGUAGCAACUGUUAUAUGAUAAUAAAACAAGAUAUAUUUUAAUUAUAUGUCGAGACGUAAACAGAUAACACAGAUUCAUGUAUUAUUCAGUGUAUACAUACAGUUGCAAUCAGCGCAACUACGAUGUUGCAAUUGGUUGGUCAUGUGUGUCCACUGUUUUCCGAACAGUCACACAGUCAUUAUUGAGUUUAACUUACACAGAGUUAUAAAAUAAGAUAAAAUUGAAAUAUUACAUUGGAGAUUCAGUCAGAUUCAUAGUCAUCCUUAAUCACUUUCGUCCUGGUAAUUAACAUGACAAGUUGUCGCCCUCCUAAUUCUUGCAAUCACUGCGUGUGCUGCUGACUCCUGUACCGCCAUAGUGCACCCAGAUUGUUGUGUAUCAUCCCCCUCACUCUGUGCCUCAUCUUGAUUCCCAUCUAGUCCUUUUUUUAUUGUUGGGCGACCUCUUUUUCUUGGAGUCCAACCUACAGUUUUCGCACUUCUCUUUUUGUCCUUGUUCUCGGCCGCUUUGCUUCUGUUUGGGUUCUGAGGGCAUGUUGUGCUAUAGUGCCCCCUAACAUGGCAGGUUUGGCACUCUCUUAUGCCCUGACCACCACUAUAUGUGCUGUAUGGAUUAGCAGGUUCCACACUAUUUUUAGCACAUUUAGCCCUACUGGCAGACUUCCUACCCUUCGUGCGCGACACUGGCGGUUCAGUCAAUCUUAGAUCAGUGAGGCAGUUUGCAGAAUCUGGAUUCAGGCCCGAUUCCGGUGGUGGUGUAGGUCCAGUUGGCAUCACAACAGGUUCUAUAUUGUUGUCAGAACUUUGUUGUGUUGGUGCAAUGGGACCAAUAUUCCGCCGUCCUUCUGCAUCUUGCUGCAACUCAGUAUUUGUUGCUUCGUCCGGACCAAUCGGACCAAUCUCCGCUGUUCGUAGAAGCUCAAUCCCAGGAGUUAUCAUGUCGAUGUGCCUGAUAGUUUCAGUGUAUGCUCUAUCAGAUUUGCUUCCCGCUCUUCCUAGUCGCAUUAACUUUGGCAGCAGCUUCGACAACCUUGACUGCUCUGUCUCAUUUUGACCACCAACACUCACAUCGUGCCGGUCCCACGGAACCACAGAUCUUGCAUUACGUGUAUAUCGCUUCAGAAUGUACUUUUCAGGUAUGUUUUGGACUUGGAGGUGGGUGAAUGCCUUUAUUAUGUGCAUGCAGAACAGACCUGCAUUUUUUUGUUGCAAUUUGGAUGUAAAUAUGCAGGAACAUCAAUGUUUAAUUUUGUUAAUGUAACGAGGUUGCAAUUCAUCUCACCUGUAUGUUCCCACUGCAUGCAUUCGCAUUUAUACACGCCUGCUGCUUUGUCAGCCACCACUUUGAAUGCGUGUUGUGCCCAGCAAAAUGUCCCAUCGCCUUUCUCAUGUUUCACCAAGUAACCGCAUUCCACUCCCGGAUCAGGCUCUAUCACAAAAGCUAUGCUGUUAAUAUAUUCCCUCUUGUAUUCAUUGUACACAGCCCUGGUGUACACCCUGCUGAGUUGCUCAUCAAAUCUUGAUUUGCAGGCUCUGACAACUUCAGUCUGCAUCAAGACCAGCAGUUCCAAUCACAUCAGACAGUAGUUGCAAUUACACGAGACAGCAGUUGUAAUCAUUGUUUGUUUAACCAAUUUUUGGGCAGAGUUAUAUAGAAGUUGCAAUCACACCAGACCAUCAGUUGCAAUUACACCAGACAACAGUUGUAAUCAUUGUUUGUUUAACAAAAUUCCCCAGAGUUAUUCAGUGCUUGCAUCCACACCACACCAGCAGUUGCAAUUACAACACAACAGUAGUUGCAAUCAUUUUGUUUACAUUUUUUAACAGAUAUUUGGGUAGAAUUAUACAGUAGUUGCAAUCACACCACACCAGCAGUUGGAAUCAUUUAUGUUUAACAGUUUUUUUACAAUCAGACCAAAAAAUUAAGGGGUGUGGGCAAAUACCUGUGAGUAGUGUGAUUCCCCAGCAUCCAUGUGGUCUGUGUGCUGAAUCGAGUCAAGCACCCUCUUUGCAAAUAUAUGCAGGCUUGUCACAUUGUUAACAUAACCAUCUUUCAAAACCCUGUUUUGGCUCUAAGAUCUCUGGGUGGAAGUCAUUCGCCCACAGUACAUGCCUUUGAAAUAUGUUGCUAUCCAUCUCUUCCUUUUCUGCCACAAUGCAACAAUUGCAGGGUGUUCUCUUAUGCCACAUUCAUCCACGAGCUUAUUCCACUCCACCUCAAAUUGUGUGGGCCCCAGAGGAUAGUUUAUCAGGGACUGCAGUUUCUCCUUUAGAUUAUUAUCAUUGUGCAAUUUGUACAGCUCCUCGAGUUCGUAAUCCCAUGUUCUGGUUAUGUGCCAUCGGCAAUUUCGGUGUUGUGUCUUGUUAAACACAAUCCUUAUUGCUUCCUUCAUCGCUGCAUCUUCAUCUGUUUGUCAAAAAUAAAAAUCAGCAAAAAAACCCCAAUAGGUUUGCAAUCAAGCAGUUUAAAAUAUUGCAAUCAUCUUCAAAGAUACAGUUGCAACAACACAGCAGUAAUUAUGUGACAAACAUUUUUUUGUAGCCAAAGCAUACCUGUAAGAAUCACAAAAGGUUGCUGACCACCCAUGCAACUUUUAAAGGUCUCAAAAAGCCAUCUGAAUGUGUCUAUUGUUUCAUCCCGAAGAAGUGCUUGGCCAAAGGACACAUUUUUCAAAUUAUUGCUGCAACCCACAAACAUGGCCAACAGCAUAUGCUUGUUGUUAGUCUUGUGUGUUGUGUCAAAUGUGACUACAUCCCCAAAAUCCUUGUAUUCUGCACGCUGACUUGCAUGACACCAAAAAAUGCUCCGAAGCACAUUUGUUUUUGGUUCAAAAUCCACAUCCCAGUAAAAGUAUUCAUUGUGUUCUUUGCUCUCCCUGAAAAAUUGGAACAGUUUAUCCAUGUCACCAUCCCUCUCCUCCCUUGCUUGCUCAGCUUUCCUGUACCAUAAAAGAAAAAACAAAUGAAGAUGUUGUUGUCAAUAUAUCGCACAAAGAUAUGAUGUCAGUUUUUUUUAUGACCUACUUGUUAUGGACAUCUUUCUCUGUGAACGGCCAGUUUUGACGGCCUCCAAAUAAUUCUGACAUUACAUUCAUUGCUGCCUGUGUUGGCACACCACUCUUUGACAUGAUUGCAAACAGGUCAUCCAACGCUGCCUCCCUCUGCUUAUGAGAAUGCAUAUAUCUCACCAUCCUUGGUGAGGGUUCAAGUUUGUGAUUGUGUGCUUCCUGAACAUGAUGAAAAUACCAAAUAUUGCGCUUCUUGUCCUCCUUCACCUUCACAUAAGCAGGGCAACCAAUUCUCAUCGAUGUCUUAUUUGUCAUAGGCUCCUCAUUCUCUUGACCUGGCUUCAGAAACCCCUCACGGUUGCAAACCCAGUGUCUGGUUUCUUUACUAGUCCUUUUUGUCCUGACACUAAAACCAGCCAAUUUUGCAUAGUCAAGGUAAAAGAGGUAGGCUUCUUCUUUUGUAUCAAAUGUUUGCUGCACCCUGGGGACAAACACAUCAAGUAUGUUUGCAUCCUGCAGGACAACACGCAAUCAUGAGUUUUGCAAUUAGAGUAUAUACCUAGUUGCAAUCAACAAGCAACAAACGUUGCAACUGGAGCACAAACACACCAUGCAACUGUAAUCAGUGAGUAAAAACAGAGACUCAAGUUUGCAAUUAGAGUAUACACCUAGUUGCAAUCAACAAGCAACAAACGUUGCAACUGGAGCACAAACACACCAUGCAACUGUAAUCAAUGAGUAAAAACAGAGACUCAAGUUUGCAAUUAGAGUAUACACCUAGUUGCAAUCAACAAGCAAACAACGUUGCAACUGGAACACAAACACACCAUGCAACUGUAAUCAAUGAGUAAAAAUAGAGACUCAAGUUUGCAAUUAGAGUAUACACCUAGUUGCAAUCAACAAGCAACAAACGUUGCAACUGGAGCACAAACACACCAUGCAACUGUAAUCAAUGAGUAAAAACAGAGACUCAAGUUUGCAAUUAGAGUAUACACCUAGUUGCAAUCAACAAGCAAACAACGUUGCAACUGGAACAGAAACACACCAUGCAACUGUAAUCAAUGAGUAAAAACAGAGACUCAAGUUUGCAACAAACGAUGCAACAGAAAAUCAACAAACCACGCACGGUGGAGCAACAAUUUUUGAUUGUUUUUUUUUCUUACCGGAUGGAAGAGCUGGGCUGCAUCCGGAGUGACCAGCGAUCCAGGUGGAAUUGAAGGCGGUGGCGUCAGCAACGUUUUGUGAUGCAAGGGAUCACCUGAUCCGCCGCGUACACCCGCUCCCGUUGUCGCAAUCGGAGACGGCAAUAUCGGAUCAGCACCUCCAGCCACAACAAUCGCCAAGGAAUUAGGGGAGGAGCAUUGAGGCGAUUCAAGGUGCGGCAGCGACGGUGGGGCCAUGGAUCUAGGGUUAGAGGAUCGGAGGAAGGAGGAGACGGCGGCGGCGCGGUGACAGGGAUGCGAUCGGCGGCUGCGGGGGAUAGGGUGGCGCGGGGUCAGGGAGGCGCGCGGCGGCGGCGGGGGGCAGGGAGGCGCGGGAACAGGACGGGCGAGGGCGCGAUGAGGCUUGAUCGGGGUGUAUUUAUAUAUUACGCCUGGGUGCAUUCAAUAUAGAGAAUGCACCUAGGUGCAUAUAUAUAUGAAAUCAUGGACAUUACUUCGCAACUCAUCAGACUCAAUCAAAGAACAAAAUCAAACAAGGUUCAUAAGAACAAGCAUUCAAGUGCAUCAAUACCUAUAAAAAUAGUUUUGUUCUUCUUAUGAUUAGAACUCCUACUCAUAAGGGUCACUUUAGGUCCAGGAUUCCAAGGUGUGAAAUCCUAUUUUGGUUUCGAGAAAGAAAAGGUAACAGUAAUCAGAGUUAAGCAGUAAUAGAUGAGAAAAGAUUAAGAAAAGUUUAGAAAUAAUCAGAGUAGCAAAGGUAAGUAGGUAAGGGUUUACGUCCUACAGUCAACAUUUCUCUGAUAUCACUUCUGUCACACCCAGAUUUAAGGACAAACUCGAGCCUGAAUUAAAUGUAUGAUAAGAUCAAGUCUCGCAUAUAUGAUGACUCAUGAUACAGAAACAAAUGUCAUAUCUUUACUAUAUAUUCGUGGGGCCCAUUUAAUAGAAACUCCAUGUUAAUCCGGUAACGGCGGGUCGGCGGCCACGAGGACCUGACGUUCGUGUGAGCUGGCACAGUGCAGAAGCAAUAACCCUAGCAUCCUAGCCCCACCUGGAAGCGAACGUGGACGACGCUGGCGUGGCAAGGUUGACAGCGAGGCCCACGGGAAGCGUCGGAGCGACGACACACGUGGAGAAGGAUGUUCGCCAAGUGGGGCCCACACGCCACCAAACUACGGAUGAAGCGCGUGCGUGACAGAGUGACUAGUCACACGACUCCACAUGGCGCCGUGAUGCAGUCGACCCCAAACUGGGUUCGCUAGGAGCGCACGGGAUUUGGUGGGCUGAUGCUGAUUCCGGCCCAAAACAGUUUUUUUUUCUUUUCUAUUUCAUUUUUCGGUUUUCUAUUUUAUUCCCAAAUCCAACUUUAAGUUUCAAGUUUACAUUUGUGUUCUAAGUCAAUUGAAUGCGACAAACAUAAAUACCAACAUGAUGCAUCACUAUUUCAUUCACUUGGUUGGUUAUUAGUUGUUUUAAUCAAGUCUUUACUGUUCAUAUGCACACUGAAAGAGAGAAAUCACACAGAUCUUUAUAAUUUAAAGAACUAAUUCACUCAUUCUAUAUUUUGGGUAUUACAGAUCUCUUUAGUGCAUAGGUAGUGUCAUGCUAGUGCAGGGUUGUAACCUAGUAGGGUAUAAAACUUUUAUGCUAAGAUAGAAAGUACUAUUAGCUAGACAUGAGGGGUGAAAUGAGCUCUUGAAUGGACGGUUUAUUUGAAAGAUGCUCCAAUGCAUGGGCCUUGUACACCUUCUUCUAUCAUAUCCCUCCUCCCAUCUUCCAUUCCAUUCCAUGGCAUCAAGUUCGACAUGCAUAUAGAUUAUUAUUCUUCCCAUCAUAAUGUAAAAAGUUCAUUCGAUCCGAGGUGCAGAUUAUUCUGGUUCAGGUUGCACAUAACUUGAGUUGCAACUCAACAAGUCCUGUCAGAACUUAAUUAUUAGGAGUAAGCUUCGGGUGGAUUAUAUAGGAGUAUUAUUACAAUAUAACCAAGCGCAUAAACCUUGGAUGUUCGGCCGGGUUUCGCCCAGGAUCGGAAUUAUUUUAUCUGAAAAAAGUAGACAGGUUGCACAUGCAUCAAGAUCCAUCAAGGACAAACAAGCAUAUAUAGUUUCUCAGAAACUACUGAAGAAUGUAUUUGUCGAACUGAAUCAUAUACAAUCUCAUCAUCACUUAUAUAUAUAUAUAGUACUUAGUACAUGAAUAAAUACAUAGAUGCAGCAGGACACACUACAAUCGAUUGUGUUGUGUCUCGCCUCAUCAUCUGAUUCUUCACUAAACACACGAUCGACGACGAUGAUUAUACUACAUGUCUAUAUAUCCUAGCACAUAUUGGUACAAUAUAUAUGAUCGAGAGCAGUAUCAUAUCAUACAUAUAUAUAUAUAGAUAUGUUACAGUAUUAUACAAAGAGAUGCAACGAAAGCCGAACCGAAGCUUUGGAUUCUCAUAGCUGCUGUAUGCUAGACUAAUCAGCACAAAAAAAAGAAAGAAAUAAGCUAAUGAUAGAUAUGCAUAUGCGUGUGAUGGCUGGAUAAUCGAAUCAGGAGGAGGAGUCGAGCAUCUUCUCGUAGUACUCGUCGUCGUCGAUCCUCCAGAGCGAGUAAUCAGAGCAGUACUCCCACGCCGGCGACGAAGGCGGAUCGGCGGCGGGAUGGCCGGGGCCGGACCCUGUCCAGCCGCCGUCGAUCAACAUGUAGAUGGCCGCCUCCGCCGCCGCGAUGUCGUUCCAGAAGUGGUCCGAGGCGUAGCACUCCUGGUGCUGCUGCUGGUGGUCGUCGUCUUGGUGUUGACGCUGGCUUGCCGUGGUGGUGGUGGUGGUGGACGCCUCGUCGAGCUCGGCGUCCUCGUCUUCGCCGCCGCUUUGCCGCAGCGCGGACUCGGUCAGAGCGGACGAUGACGUGGCCGUGCCACAGCCGCGGCUGGUCGGACUAGGAGAGCCAGAGCAGCUGGACGUGGUGGUAGUCACGGACGACGCUGACCCUGAGAACGCCGACGCCGUCGCCGUCUUGCUGCUCCGGCUGUCCUGCUGCUGCUGCUGCUGCUGCGCCGCCGCCUUCUGCUUCCUGGCGCGCGUCCUCCAGAAGUUCUUGAUCUCGUUGUCGGUGCGGCCGGGGAGGCUCCUGGCGAUGCGCGACCAGCGGCUGCCCCACUGCGCGUGGAGCUGGAGGAUGAGUCGCUCCUCGUCGGCGGUGAUGCGGCCGCGCCGGAGCCCCGGGUGGAGGUAGUUGACCCAGCGGAGGCGGCAGCUCUUGCCGGUGCGCCUCAGACCUGCACGAGUACGCCGCCGACACAUGCGCAUGCACAGAGAAGAAGCAGGGCACGCACAAGAGAGAGAGAAAAGAAAUGGUUAAUCAACACCCAUCGCCAUAGCCCAUCCUACAUCAAUCCAUCCCCACGCACGCAUGCAUCUACAUAUGCAUGCAUGCAUGCAUGCUUGGGGAUCGGAUGCACCCGCCACCGCGCAAACCUGAGACCUUUGCUAAGAAAUCCCACCGGCGUUCACCAAACAAGCGGACGAACCAUACCAGCUGAGCGUCUUCCUCCUCUGUCCACGGGCCCUUCCUCAUCGCCGCCGCCGGCACCUGCUGCUUAUCACUGUUGCCGCUGCCCCUACUACUACUGCCACUACUACGGUCACCACCGCCCUGCAGCUUCUUGCUCAUCUUGCUCGCUGCUGCCGGUGUCGCCAUCGACGACUGAUGAUGAGGAUAACGAUCGUCCAUCGGUCAGCCUUCGUCCUCUUCCUUUAAUUUUUCGGCAGCGCGGCCAGGACCGCGAGUUGAUGGUAGGCGUCCUUCGGUCUCCGGCCGCCUCCUCCCUCCGAACUGUCCCCGCCGUCGACCGACCUGAUCGAGCUGCUUGGUUGGCCGGACUUAAUAGCUAGCUAGUAUAGCCUGCAGGUGGUGGCGGCCGGGCGGAAGACGAGACGAGACGAGACGACAGAGACAAAGGCCACCCAACAAAACAAGCUUCGGCGCACCUAUCAAUCAAGAGGAAGAAGAAGAAAGGGACUGCAGAUAGAUGCCUCGAUCCACUACUUGCGUACGAUAUAUAGAUUCUACUGCUGGGUGCUGGGUGCUGGCUGCGUGCGUGCUAGCUGGAACGCUGGAUCGAUGCCUCCGUCCUCAGUACACUUGCUUAGUUGCUUACCAGAUCCUCUGUGUACUGCUUGCUAGUCACACUGCGUGCACGGUUAUUUAUAUACACAUAUACAUACAUACAAAAGAGAGAGAGAGAGAGAGCUGGUUGAAUUGCUAGCUAGCCAAGAAGGAGAGGAGUGUAGUAUAGUACUACAACAACUACUAGCGGUGGGGUAGAUCUGGCAAAUGAAAAAUGCAAGGCAAGUGCCGCUGCUAAGACGACGAUCGAUGAUCCAUGGAAAAAAGCUAGCAAGCAAGCUAGUGCGAGGUGAGGUCAGUGAUGGGCACCCCGCACUGAGAAAUGCUCCUCCUAUCAUGUGUCAGCAUUUGCAAUUGGGAUGAGCUUUCUAGAGUCACCUCACCCCCUCUUGCUUGCUCCUGCACCCUUAGCUUCUUUGUCGUUCUUUGCGCACGUAUUUGCACCAGCGAAUCAUUAAGUUUCGGAAAACUUGUUAACCACACACGAACCAGCGUGCGAGCCUUUUCAUUAUUUUGUAGCCAUGGCCAUUCGGAUUUUCGUUAAGCAUCAUGCAAUCAACUAAUUUUGUGAUCAACAUAAAGUAUAAAACGGUAAUAUAUAUAUAUAUAAUAAUCAUGCCUGCUAGCAAUCAAAACACUACUAGAAUCCGGCUCUUUGCCGAGUGUUUUUUAUCAAGCACUCGGUAAAUAAAUCUUUGUCGAGCGCCGCACUCGAUAAAGUCCUACUCUCGGUAACAACCACGCUUACCGAGAGCAGGACACUCGGCAUAGGAAGACACACGGCAAAGACCUCUUUGCGACGAGUGCCAAACACUCGGUGAACGACGACGUUCGGCAAAGGGUCGUCAACAGCCGUCUAUAGUUGACGGUCGUUACCUUUGCCCAGUGCCUGCCUUGGACACUCGCUAAAGUAUAUAUUUAUUUUGUUUUUUUUUCAACCAAACUUUUUGUGGUUUGUUCCUACACUAUGUAGACUUACAUGUUCCAUUUUGGCAUAUUUAUAAAAGUGUUUGCUAUAACUAUUAUAUUUUAUUCGUUUAAUUGAAUUUCCUCGGAUAAUUGAGAAUUGAACUGCAAGUCACUCGAAAAAUAGAAAAACGUGAAUACAAAAAUGAUAUCCAUGUUAUUUAGCAUAAGUUACGGCCGAUUUAAGGAGAAAACCGGAAUUUUUGAGCAUCAUGCUCUCGAAACAUGACCGGAAUGCAAAAAAUGAUAUCCAGUUGUUUAAAAAUUAUACACAAACAAAGUCAGAAAAACAUGAAACUUCUCUACAUGUCAAGAUAUCAUAUUUAGAGGCUGUGAUAAAAAUUGAAAAUGUUUCGUGAAAGUUAUCACGCACUAUGUGUAGAAACCUAGUCGAUUUACAUUGAAGCUCUAUGAUUUCAUGUGUAGGAUACUUAGGUUUCUAUAUGUAGUGCAUCACAACUUUCUCGAAACAUUCUCAAAUUUUUAUCACAGCCUCUACAUAUGAUAUCAUGACAUAUAGAGAAGUUUCAUGAUUUUCUGACUUUGUUUGUGUUUUAUACAAUUUUUAUAUAACUGGAUGGCAAGUUUAUUGUCAUGUUUCGUGGGCAUGAAUAUCAUUUUUGCAUUCACCGUUUUCCAUUUUUUGAGUGACUUGCAGUUCAAAUCUCAAUUAUUUGAGAAAAUUCAAUUAAACGAACAAAAUCUAAUAGUUAUAUCAAACACUUUUAUAAUUGUACCAAAAUGGAACAUAUUAGUCUACAUAGUGUAGGAACAAACCACAAAAAGCUUGGUUGGAAAAAUAAAAAAAAUACUUUGUUGAAUGUCAAAAUAAGACACUCCGCAAAGCAUGGUUUACCGAGUGUUAGCCGGGCGACACUCGACAAAGUUUUUUAAAAAAUAUUAAAACAAUCUUUGUUGAGUGCUUGUCAGUGGACACUCGCCCAAGAUGUCUUUGCCAAGUGCCAGAUCACGGACACUCAGCAAAGUAUAUUUUAAAUUUAAAAAACUUUGCCAAGUUCUAGAUCGUGGGCACUCGGCAAAGAACAUUUACAUAGCCGGUUGUAUGGGCCCGCGACCCAUUGUUUCCCUCCAUCGCCGUCACCCAGCAUGUGCCCCGCCGCACUCACGCCCCUUCCACGCCUAGUGUGUUAUCUAGAACUUGCCUUCAUACUUGAUCCAUCUAGAUAUACCUUUGCUUAACAUUUGUUAGUUCUCACCUAGUGCGUUGUACAUCUAAUCACCAAAAAUAUAGAAAUGGCACAAGGGCAUAUUUCCCUUUCAGCAAGCUUUGCCGAGUGCCUCCUAAUGCAAUCGGCAAAGGAACUGACAAAGGGGCCUACUGGUGAUACGUUUGCCGAGUGCUAGUCAGUCGGGCACUCAGCAAAAAGAGGUAGCAUUUGCCGAGUGCCGCCUAAUACGCUAGGCAACGGAACUGGUAAAGGGGGCCCACGGGGAGCUUUUUUGCCGAGUGUCAGUAUAGUGGACACUCGGCAAAGAGUGAGCCUUUGUCGAGUGUCAGUACAGUGGACACUCAGCAUAGGCUCCGUCACCGUCAACUGGCGCCGUGACGACGACUUUUAUUUGUAGAGUACCAAAAGUACUCGGCAAAGAAGUCAUUGCCGAUGUACAGUUUACCGAGUGUCACACUCGGGAAAGCCUUCGCCGAUUGUUUUCUAGGAUUUACCGAGUGCUUCAGACACUCAGCAAAGCAACUGUUUUCGAUAGCGAAAGACUAGCAGCAAUGCAACAUGCAUGAAUUAAUAAAGAUCCAAUUGACUUUAGGAAGACCGUAGAAAAAGAAACAAUACUAAUGAAUAGGGAUGAAAACGGAUACUUAUUCUAAUGUUAAUUUUCUGUCUUUUUUUUCUUUGAUUGAGAAUAAAUAUAAUAUAUAAUAUGGUUAUGCAAAUUUGUAUUCUUAUUUUAAAAAAACAUUAUAUUUUGAGAAAGGAAGAUUAGUUUGACAAAGCAAGAUUAUUGAUUAUCAUUUUUUUUGAGGAAGCAAGAUUGUUGAUUAUCAUUUUUUAUUUUCAGGGAAUUAGUUUUGAAACUUUGUAUAUUGAUAUAUCCAGGUUUUAUCAUUUCUGGGAAACACAUACAUAUAUAGGCAUUCGCCUUUGAAACCUACCAGAGAACCAAAUUUGAGGCUGAUGUUCGAGUUAUCGCGCGCCCACUACUGAAUGAAUCUCGUCGUUUUUUCUCUCUCACUUUAAUAUAUUUACCAAAAAAACAUCCUUUUCUAUCUUGUUUGACCACAUGCAUGGUGUCAUAAUUGCUGAUCUGAUAAUUUGCAGGCUUAUACUAAGCCGCCAUGUUGCAGUUCAUAAGCAUAUCCUUCGCUAUCCUCCUGUAAAGAAAAACGAUGAGGGAAUAUGUUCUCAAAUGAGCAGAAUAAAAGCGACCAUUGCAAGCUGCAUUUGCAUAAUAAACGCUCGCGUCAUUAUCCACGAUGGCCGGACUGACUGGGGGAUCGAGAGAGGAUACAGAUUACUCCACUCACCCACCGCUCAUUGUGACCCCCCGGUUUGGCUGUUUCUCGAGUCUUCGUCACAAAAUUUAAGAAAAAGAUCGUCAUCCCAGUAUUAUAUUCAAAAGAGACUAAAAUAAUAAUCUUGAUCGAGAAAAUCUCCGAACACUUAUCCUUAUCACUAACAGAUCGACAUCAAUCAUUCACUCUGCAAUGGCCGAACCAGAGGGCGUGGCAUACAAUUCAUCACAAAAUUUAGGGGAGAAGAAAAUAACAAUGUCACAGUAGAUUCUUUAAAUCAUUCUCUCUCUCCUCUAUAAAACCACCUUUAUCGCUCUCCAUUUUUUGAAAUACUACAUGGCUAUGUGACUGUAAUAUAUAUGUGAUAGUUUUCUUACGAAUUUUCACAAGAGGAAACUUGUGAUAAGCUAUUAGUUAUAUAGAAAACCGAUUAGCAUCUUAAGAAUCGUCCUUAUACGAUUAUUCUGAAAACCAUGCAAAAGAUCAAAUAAAAGGGAAUUCGGGCCAGUUUUUGUUUAUGGGAGGGAGAGGUGGGGUAUGAGGUCAUACCUGCUAUUUGCGGAAGUGGGCCACUAUUAAACGUUGCUAGUAGUGGUACAUAUCCUCCCAAUUACAUAUCAAACAAAAAGGCAGUCCACUACCAGAUUUACAAAUUCACUACACCAUGCCUUUCUAAAAAAAAAUGUGUGCUAGGACCAGUGAGUUCCAUCUCUACAACUAUUAAGAGCGGAUUGUAGACUGCCCCCGCCGCUACCAAAUCCUCCCGCUACCACGCGCCCAGCCCCCGCAAAAAUCGCCGCAACCGAACGCCGCGAUUCCCCGCCCGCAGAUCACGCGCAAGCGCAACCGACCCCUGCCGCGAUUCCCCUCCGCGGCGAAUCACCUGCAUCCGCAACUUCCGCUGGAGCAGGGGCCCCAUCUCCGGCCUGCUCAAGGGCUACGUCGGCCUCAGCACCGCCAUCUUCAUCGACACCUGCUUCGCGCUCUUCGCCGACGACCCGGCCUCGUUCCUCGUCAUGCUCGUCGUCGUGCCGGCCGCCGUCUGCGCGCUCGCCAUGGUGUUCCUCCGCGAGGGCACCGCCGCUGCGGACGAGGAGGACGACGGGCGCUGCUUCGCUCGCACCGCUCCUUCAAGGCGGGACAGGCAGCGGACGGUGGAGGGCUCGGACGCGCGGCUAAAGUGGGCGGCGGGGCCGCGCCGCGGGAGAUCUGGAGGUUGGCGAGCGCCCCGGAGAGAGCCCCCACCCCGGAGCCUGGUGGCCCUGGCUUGAGCCCUGCGCGGUAGGGUUUUGCGCGGCGAACGGCGGCAGCGGCUGCGGAGACGACGCCAUGGAUCGCAGCGAGAUCGGGUGCUCUGCUCUGCUACAGCAUGGAUCGUUUCGUGCGCGGUCGGGUCUGGCGGUCUGGCUUUUAGCACGUCACAUUUGGGAAAAUCGCUCGUGGACCUGCAUUUUAGUGUGGCAAAUUCACUAUAGAGGACAUUUUAAUGCAAUGGCGUAAGGCUCUGAGUUUGCCCAGAUGUUGAUGCUUUCGGGUAUACCUUCGUUGGAUAUAUAGGGUUUGUGAUGUUUUGGAAUUCUGCAAUUGAUCAAUGCUAGAUUUUUUUUGAUAGCGAUCAAUGCUAGAAUUGAAUUGCUGUAGAAUGCAUUCUACUUGCUGCUUGCAGUCGUGGUUGGUUAGAGGAAACUGUUUGGAUGGGGAGGAUUUCUCUAGGAACUUUUAGUUAUCCAUAAUGAUGGUGUCUAUUUCUAUGAUGCCUCAUAGUUACUAAAAUUUGCUUAUGUGUCACAGAAAGUUUCCAUAUGGCCUGUUUGGAUGGGGAGGAUUUCUUUAUGAACUUUUAGUUAUCCAUAAUGAUGUUGUCUAUUUCUAUGAUGGCUCAUAGUUAAUUAGUUAUAUAAUGAAUUCAUGUUAAGGUUAUGAUUUGGUCCUGAUAAAUCUCUUUACUCUCUUUUCUCUAAACCGAACAGCUAGCUGUGUUCACUGUUGCAGGAAAAGAGUAGUUUCUGGUGUACAGCCAACAGGAUCGGUUCACCUUGGAAAUUAUCUAGGGGCAAUUAAGAAUUGGGUUGCACUUCAGGUAUUACAUGUGUUGCUUUGAAAUUACAAGUUCCUUUGAAUUGCAGUGUAUAGGCUCAGUCAAACAAAUCCCUUUUGAUCUUUGAGCUUACAAGUUUCUUCGAUAAAAAAGUAAUUUGAUUACCCAGCAACUACUAACUUUAUGUAUGCGAGACCUCUGAACUGAAUAUUGUUCUUUUAUGUGCAGUGAGAUAUUAAGUUUAUACAAUUUGUAUGCCUAUAUUCUACUAUACCUGAUUACAUGUUCAUGUCAUACAUGAUUACAUGUUCAUGUCAUACAUCUUAGGACCUGGCAAUUUAUUUUGACCUGUAUUGCUCUUCUUAUUUAUAGGCACAUGGUGUUUCAUCGAUUUUGAAUUUUAGUGAGAAUUGUACACCAGAAUUUUUGACGCCUUACCUGGAUGGAAUCGUGAAUAAAUUACUUGUUCUUCUUCAGGUACGCAAUUACUUGUGUUGAAUUAGGUUUCAGGUUGCUUCAAAUAUAUUUGUUAUCAUGGUUAGUAAACAAUGCUAACUGCUCAUGUUCAUAUUCUAGAAUGGCAAGCAAAUGGUGCACGGGGGAGCAUUGACAGCUCUAGCGUCAGUAGCAUGGCAACAACCUCAGAUGCGCCGUCGUCAUCUUCUACAUCUUCCUCAAUGAAAAGGGUGCAAAGACGGAAUUCGAAAAAAGACUUGGCGAGUUCUUCAAGCACCAAAUCGGAACAGAUUCUUCUGUGGCUUAUGGAGAUGGGUUUCGAGCACUACACGUUGUAAGCAUGUGGUCGACCCUAUUCGACUGCUUGCAUCUGUCAAUUCUGAUCGCAGUGGCGCAACUAUAAGACGAGUGGUUAAAUUUAAGAUUAGAAAAGUUAAACGAACUAUAAAUUAGGACAGAGGGAAUAAUAUAAUAGUAGUAUUCUACUAACUAUUAAGCGCUUACUGUAGACUGCCCCUGCCUCUGCCCGCCCGACCUCCAGAAACCCCGCCUCCGCAAACCUCCGUGAGAGCCAUGUCCGUCGCAAACCUCGCCGCCGCAAACCUCCCGCCCCCCGCCUCGCUGUGAUACCCGCCUGUCCGCAAACCUUCGACCGUCGCGAUCCUCAAGCCCGCAAAUCCCUCCGCGAAUCGCGCCGCGACCAUCACAACGCCACGAACCGCCUGCCGCACGACCCGUGGAACCCCGCAGCCGCCCCCGAGCAAACUCUGCCGCAAUCCGUUCGCCGCGUCCCCGAGCAAUCCCGAGCAAGCCGUUAAUUGUCUACUCCCUCGCCGUAAUCCGUCGUGCCGCGACCGCCGCAUACUCCGUCGCAAACUGAAACCCCGAGCUCAAUCCCCCGCGCGCGGCCCCGAGCAAUCCGCCGUGUGCUGAUGGGGCACAAGGGUAACACAUGCUCAGGUCUUAACAUAUUUGGCUUCCGAACAAACUUUCUCCAGAUCCCUAAGAAAAUAUAAGACCCGCUUAGAUAUGUGUCGAUGCUCAUCCCAGUGUACUCCCGUUGCAACGCACGGGCACACACCUAGUAUAAAAAUUAAUACAGCAGCGUUCCAAAUGAAUUUCUAUGUAUCUUUCUAUAUUCCAUAGAGUGCUCAAAAUAAAGGGUGUGUACAUGAUGACCCAAAGGGAAACAAAAGGAGCAUGUGAAGCAAACGUUGAUAUAUAUAUAUAUAUAUAUAGCAAAAUACAUCAACAGUUCUCGAACUUGUCAUACCGUGUCACUUAGAUCUCAAACUCUUAAAUCAAAAGAAAAAAACAUGUCCUUAAACUUGACCGACCAUCCAAAACCAAAUUUGUAACGCUCACUUGACAUGCCACGUUGAAGUCAGUUGGGUCCCAAACUUACAUGUUAUGUUACUGGAGCCCCUGAAUACCCGGGUCUCCGAACUUUUAUUAGUGCGCUCUAGCGUGGCACGUUGCUGCGUUGGCAUCCGGUUUCAGCAAACUCGGUUUUGGAUGACCAAGUUCGAUAACAUACCGAGUUCAAGGACCGCUGAACAUACCGAGUUCGAAAACCGCUGAUGCAUUUUACUUGUAUAAAAAGAUCCAUCUCUUGCACUUGUGUGGUUUUAUUGGUGUGUGUGUAUAUAUAUAUAUUAAGAGCCCUAGGCUUCCAAUAACUAAAGGAAGCCCAGGUCAGACGGUGCAAUCCGGUCGAGCCGGACCACAUUCGGACGCCUAUAAAAUAGGACCCAGAGUGCUAGGGUUCAGUUUUUUACGCUCCACCCCGAUUCAUUAGCGACGUCGCAUGCGACGACGGCGGUUGCCCCAGAGCAUGAGCGGCGGUGGACCCCCAGCCGGUGGCCGCUGAAAGCAUCUAGGCCCCUGGUUGGUUUUAGUGAUUAAUGACAACGUAAUAUUAUAUGUGACUAACAUAUGUUUUGCAGAGACAAAUGGUAAGUUAGGUCGCAUGACAGGUAGAAGUACUACAACGGUGAAAACAAUCCCGGAAAUAAGAACUCGAAGCGACGGCUAAAACGACGGAACAAAAGGUGAAGGUCUACGGAGUCCGAGUGUCAAGGAGAUGUGGACACUCGCGAUUUAGUUAGGUCUUUUAUUCUCUUUAGCCGUACUAUAAAGAGGGGUUGUCGAUGAGUAGUUUGACCAAGAGAGUUCUAGUGUAGUGUUGGUACACAAUCACACUCAUAUUCAGUGCUAGGUGUCACUCUAGAACUCACACACAAGUUAGAGAGAAAACCGAUUUGAAAAUCAGCUGAAAAACAAGACUUAGUGUUUCUGGCUUAGGGGCACCGGACUGUCCGGUGCACCCUCUGCCAGGUGGGGCCAGGCUGGUCCACGGCAGUGUCUUCCCUUCGCAGAAACCCGAGAGCGCAGUGUUCAGAGUUGUAUUUUAGUGGCACACCGGACACCGCACCGGACUGUCCGGUGUGCACCGGACAGUGGACUGUUCACUGUCCGGUGCGCCACGAGUCCAACGGCUCUCACUAUCUCUUUUACUCUAUAACCAGAUGAUGAACCCCAAUGGAAAUGAAGUAAAUGAUGCCAACGACAAUAUUCCUACCUUAACAACUACGAACGAGAAAAACGAGUCACCGAGAUAUUCGAUGAAUGGAAUGAACAACAAAAGGAAUAGAAAAAUGUUCGGAUACAUGAUUAGACCACCUCAACCGCAGGCAAAGUCACGAAACACACAGAUUCCCAAACAGAAGAAUCAAGUCAGACUCAGCUACAUGAGAUACAGACACCGAAUCAACCCUCACCCCGUGUUGGUCAAACAAGUUGACUCGCAAAGAACUCAAAGCGAGAGGUGCUUGCUACUACUGCAAAAACGAAGGACAUCUUAUUCGCGAAUGCCCCAAGAAGCGUCUAGACCGAAUAAAGAAGAAAGCUGCCAAGCAUGACCUAAGCAAUAGUUCAGAAGACCCACCAUUUUAUAAGUAUGAUGAUGAAGGUCGCUUGAUUAGUAUACAUUUCGGAGCAGAGAAGUAAGGAAGUUCCUUAAGUUUGGAGGAGUUCAAUGAGAACUGAGAACCUACAAAUAAACCAUGUAUCUCCUUUGCUUUCGUGCUAGCCUUUCCUUAAUCUCGAGGACGAGAUUCUUUUUAAGAGGGGUAGAUUUGUGACACUAUAAAAAUCAUUAAAUAAAAAUAAUACAUUUAUGGUAAUAAAUUUUCCAUUGAAGUGUUUGUUGUUUAUUUCAGUCGGAAUGAUUUUUGAUUGCUCAUAAGUGAUUUUGAAUAUUAAAUAUUAUUUCUUCUUAAAAGAAAAGUUCACAUAAAUAAUAUAAUAAAUAUUAGCCCAAGAAUAAAUAUUAUGUAUAUAAAUAAUUUUUGGAUUAAUUAUUAUGAUUUUUAAGGUUAUUUAAAAAUGAAUUUCGAAUUUAGAAAAAAAACACAAACCUAUCCUACCCGUUUGGCCAUUUGGCCAUGAAACCAGCCGGCCGCUCCUACCCUAGCCAGCCGCGCCCUGUUCCCUCUCCCUGCUCCCAGCCGCCACUCUCCUUGCCUUCCUGGUAGCCGCCGUUCCCUGGCCCUCUCUCUCCCUGCCUCCGUUUCUCUCUUCCCUGCUCUCUCCCUCCAGCCGAACGCCGCCAGGGAGACGCCAGGAUCGCGCCGAGCAGGCGCACGACCCUGCCUGCGCGCCCCGCGCCCAGCAGCCACGGCCUCGCGACCACGCAGCCGCCCAUGGAACCUGCGCAGCUGUGCGCGACCCAGACCCCGCGCGACUCCGACCGGCCGAGACGCGCGCAGCUCCCCACGCCUGGAGCGACCGCACCAGCGCCCUGUCCAGAGACCGCCCGCGCCGACCGACGUGCCAGGCAACCAAGCCGCGACACCGCGCCUAACUGCACGCCAUCCGACCAACGUCCGAAGCCAAGCCGUCGACGCCAUCCGCCCCGCGUCCGUUUCCCUUCGUUAAUGGAGUUCAAUGCGUCCGUUACUCCCUCCCACGUAUUCUCGCUCCUUCAUUAGAGAUAAUGAACGCCAUUAAUGGCCGUCGGCCACCGUUUCCUCACCCCGACGACCUCUGCUCUCCUCUCUCUCUAUAAAAUCCCAGCCGAGCCUCUCCUUCUCCCUGCUCGAGCUCGCUCUCUCUUCUCGCGCCUCCCUCUCUCUCGCAGUGUUAGUUCGCCGGAGUUCACCGCUGUUCGUCGCCGGAGUUCGACCACGCCAUCGCAGUCCUCCCGCCGUCUGUGGAGACUCACCGGAGCUCGUGUUCACCGUCCGCGUUUCCCCGCCGGAGUUCCAUCCGCGCAGCACGACGAUCGCGCCCGUUCCCAUGCCCGUUGACCCUCCCUGCUCGUCGACAUUCAUCCCUGCGCAGGAACGAAAACACAAGGUCGAAGACAACCCCGAAAUAUUUAUUUUCUAAAUCAUGUUUUGAAUUUAUUGUGAAUUAUUGUUGUAAUAUUAUGAUGAUGCCGAUUUGGUGAUUCGUAUAUGAUUGUAAAGAUUUUGUUUUAUACGUGUAGUCAAAAUCGAACCCGCGACGAUACUUUGAAAAUGCGUAUGAUUUUAUAAUUCCAAAAUGAGCACGGUCACUAUUCACUACUUUAAUGAUUUUCAUACUAAAAUUGUUUAUAAUUAAUUUCGCUUAUUGUGUGGAGCGAUAAUCGGUUAGUAGUGAUAUAAUAAAUUAAAUAUAAAUACUAGGCACGUAUUUCCAGUCAAUGAGGAUAUAGAUUUUACUAUUCAUAAUAAAUGAAUUCAUAAGUAUGGCACUUAAGUAUUAGAAUUAAUAAGAUAUUUAUCUAUGUCAUAAUAACCAUGAUAUGUUAUUAAAAGUCCCAUUUAGUAAUUUACAAUUAGUCUUAGUAUAUUAAUGUUAGAAGAAUUAAAUAAACAAUUUUUAGUUAUAUGUAUAAGUUCUAUUUAGAAAGAAAGGAGAAAAUCGAAAUAGUAGAAUUUAUAAUAGUGUUAAAUGACUUAACUAGGCACUUAUACUUUUCUAACAAAGAAAAUAAUAGUUAUGUCGAUAAACAUAGGUUUCUUACUAAAGAAUUAGAUAAAUUGUUUCGAACAAUGACCUUUUAAUAGUUAUCAUAUUUAAAAGAUUCAUUAUAGAUGUUUAAGUAUAGCCGUAUUAAAUAGAAACUUAAAGUAAUAUGUCAUAUAACUUUUCUAGUAAUAUAUAAUGGCUUAAUUAAGUGCUCACGUCGUUAUAACUAAAACAAUAGUUAAUAACAUACCAAUGAAUACUAUUCAUUUUAAAUAUCUAGGUCAUAUGUUUCUAAACUAAUGUAAAGAUAAAUAAUAGAGUAAUUAUGUCCUCUCAUAACCUAGUUAAUUAGAUUUAUAUUUGUUUACAACUGGAUAUAUAGGCUUAAUUAAUCAUUUAAUCAAAAUUAGUUCAUAUUAUUCAUAUAUGUGUCACUUAGUUUUUCCUAAAGAAUAACUAAGGAAAUUAGUGUUCAUGUUCUUUAAUAAUAAUGUUAGUUUGUAUACUGUUUCGUAUAUAGCUUUCUUAAUAAAUAAAGGACAUGUACUUUCUAAUAAAAAUAAAAUAUAAUUGUUUGUUCAUUGUCUUUUACAUAAAAGUUCAUUAAGCAUAUCAUAACUUUCCAUAAUAGGUAUUUAAUAAUAAUGAUCUUUUCACAUAAAACCUAUUUAGACUUAUAUCUUAAUUUGUCUUAAGUGAGGUCUAACAAUGAAUUAUAAUACGUUCCAUAAUGCUUCUAAGAUUAAUAACAUGUUUCGUGCCCAUUAACCUUAGAUAUAACUUAUAUGUGUUCUAAAAGGUUAAAAAGGUUUAAUAUCGUUAUUACGUGUUUUAUCAUCUUAUUAACCUUUUAUCUUAGACAUAUCACAUAUGACGUUUUUUAAAAGAAUAAUUUGGUGAACCUAAUAUUUGUAUAUUUUAAUUAAGAUAUUUUAAGCUCAUGUCUUGUUUUAUAAAGUAUAGAUCACACAUUGUUGAAAAGAAUACCUUUUUAUUAUAACCAUUACGUGCGAUGUUUUAAAAAGCGAACGCUCUUUUCGUUAGGCUUUCUUUUAGCUUUACGUAUGGUGAAUGUUGUAUGUUAUUGAGUGGUGUUUGUUCUUCUUGUUUGUUUGUGUGAUAUUCAGUGGUUGAUCUAAUAGUUAGAAUCAAGAUCUAUUCCUAUCCGUGGAAGAACCUCAAGUUUUCAAUAAGCAAGGCAAGUGGACUUCUCCCUCUGCAUACUCUGUUUGAUCCCAAACAAUACAUUUAAUAAGUUUAUUCUUUUGGAUAUAUAUGCAUAAUUUGACGGGUUACCUAUUUAGAUACAUCUAACCUUUCCAACCUUAUUCCUUGUUUAAACCUAGGAUUAUGUUCUAAUCAAGUAGCUAUGCUAUUGCUACAACUUAACUUUAUGCAGUCACUCCCGCUAUGAUAUUAAUGUUCCAAAAUGGUAAGUUUACAUUAUUGUUGUUAACCCGAUGGUUAAACAAGAUUAUUGCAUAUUAAUUGGACAUGGAGUGACCACCCGGGAAAACAGUGCUACCAUGAGAACUAUCAUGGCUCUGGUCUUGGCUAAAUAACUAGGGAAGUCUUAUGUUGGGUGCUGGUCGUGGUCGACAGGAACGGGGGCAUCUGGCAAGCUCUUAUAGUUCCGGCUCAGGCAGAUUGGAUACGGGCAUAGUUCCCAAAGCUUUACCCUGUAGUCUGGACUAUAAGUUGGUUACGGUAGUUGCCUUAUGCAGUUUGACCAUUUCCAGCAUUUGCUUAAUGAGGACUCUAGGGAGAAGCCUCGUAGUGGACCCUGGCCAUUCACCUCGGAAGUGAAUACGGUCUAGCUAACCAGCUAGAGGAAUCGCGACUAUGGGUAAAGAUCGCCACCUCUGCAGAGUGUAAAUGAUAUAUCAGCCGUGCUCACGGUUAUGAGCAGCCUGGACUCCUACAUGAUAAUUGAACUUGAAGAUGGAAAUAAUCGAGAUCCGAUUUGCCAAUGGUUUUGCUUAAGUGGUUUCACUUAAGUGUUUUUAUAUACUCUUAUACAUUUGCUUAAUGGGAUACUUGGGAUUCACACUUUAUUAAGACAGGUGUUGUUAAUAAAUGUUGACCAACUAAAUGCUUACUGUCAACUCAGCUCACCUUGUUAGACUUGCAUUAGUUUUUCCCCACUUGCUGAGCCCCGACCUAAGUGAGCUCACCCUUGCUUAAUUUUGAUCAGAAGUUGCAUGAGAUAUGAUGCUGAACUCCAUGGAUGCUAGUCUAGUGAUACCCCGGUCAUCUUCCUGUGGAUGGAUGUCCUUUUCGCUGUAUUUGAUGAAUAAAGUUAAGACUUAUGUCUGUUCAAGUGUAAUAUGUUAAUAUAUCGUUAUUUACGCUUUUAUGCAUUGUUUUUUGAUAUAUUACACUUGUGACGUCAACAUAUGUGUGGAAAUAGAUCCUGGACACAUAUGCUAUGCACCCGGCUCUGCCCUUGGAAACGGUGUGACAGAAGGGUAUCAGAGCAUGUGACGUAGGUCGCUAGAUUAGUUAGAAAUGGAAAGCCCAGUCAGUCUCUCAAAGCUGAUAUAUUUUCCUCCAUAAAAAUUUACUUUAUAUAAAACCUCGUCUCUUUUAUUUUCAACUCUUCUGUCUGUUUUGGUCUAUCAGAAGACUCUGCUCAGAAGCACUACAAGAUGAUCAAGCUAGGAUUGCGGAACUUGAAGCGAAGUUUGCCAGAAGAAACCCUUUCGAAGCUAUCGACAUGCCCCAUUCUCUGUCUUAUCCCGCCCCGCAAGAAGUUUCAUUAUAGAUCUCUUGGAUCUAUUACCAUUCUUCUUGGUUAGGUUGAUAGGUAGUUCUAUAGUGCUAAGUUUUCGACUAGAUCGGUAAGGACGACGUUAUAUUGUUGUUGUUUUCUAACUCAUAAUAUUGCUAUUAACCCUUGAUUUUCUCUACUCUUGUUUUCUUGCCAUUGUAUUGUCAUCCUUGGACAAUAUCUACCUUGAUAAUUAACUUUUGCCUCUCUACUUUUCCUUGAUAAUGCUUUCUCCGUAUUGAAUUCUUAAUACUUAUGCUUUCUGCCAUUAUAUUGCCACUCUGCGCAAUAUUACCUUGUAUUGAACCUAUGCCUCUCUAUUUUGCUCCUUGAUAAAGCUUUCUACCUAACUCACUCAUAUCCUUGGUUAUAUCAUUUAUCCUCACUUUAAUAGUUUCAUGGUUAUCUUAUUUUAUUCUGGCUACAACAAAUAUGUCUUGUCUAACUCCUUGUAAUUCUUUACCCAACUCCUUGAUUUUUAUAUNNNNNNNNNNNNNNNNNNNNNNNNNNNNNNNNNNNNNNNNNNNNNNNNNNNNNNNNNNNNNNNNNNNNNNNNNNNNNNNNNNNNNNNNNNNNNNNNNNNNAGAGAGAGAGAAAAGAAAUGGUUAAUCAACACCCAUCGCCAUAGCCCAUCCUACAUCAAUCCAUCCCCACGCACGCAUGCAUCUACAUAUGCAUGCAUGCAUGCAUGCUUGGGGAUCGGAUGCACCCGCCACCGCGCAAACCUGAGACCUUUGCUAAGAAAUCCCACCCGGCGUUCACCAAACAAGCGACGAACCAUACCAGCUGAGCGUCUUCCUCCUCUGUCCACGGGCCCUUCCUCAUCGCCGCCGCCGGCACCUGCUGCUUAUCACUGUUGCCGCUGCCCCUACUACUACUGCCACUACUACGGUCACCACCGCCUGCAGCUUCUUGCUCAUCUUGCUCGCUGCUGCCGGUGUCGCCAUGACGACUGAUGAUGAGGAUAACGAUCGUCCAUCGGUCAGCCUUCGUCCUCUUCCUUUAAUUUUUCGGCAGCGCGGCCAGGCCGCGAGUUGAUGGUAGGCGUCCUUCGGUCUCCGGCCGCCUCCUCCCUCCGAACUGUCCCCGCCGUCGACCGACCUGAUCGAGCUGCUUGGUUGGCCGGACUUAAUAGCUAGCUAGUAUAGCCUGCAGGUGUGGCGGCCGGCGGAAGACGAGACGAGACGAGACGACAGAGACAAAGGCCACCCAACAAAACAAGCUUCGGCGCACCUAUCAAUCAAGAGGAAGAAGAAGAAAGGGACUGCAGAUAGAUGCCUCGAUCCACUACUUGCGUACGAUAUAUAGAUUCUACUGCUGGGUGCUGGGUGCUGGCUGCGUGCGUGCUAGCUGGAACGCUGGAUCGAUGCCUCCGUCCUCAGUACACUUGCUUAGUUGCUUACCAGAUCCUCUGUGUACUGCUUGCUAGUCACACUGCGUGCACGGUUAUUAUUAUUACACAUAUACAUACAUACAAAAGAGAGAGAGAGAGAGCUGGUUGAAUUGCUAGCUAGCCAAGAAGGAGAGGAGUGUAGUAUAGUACUACAACAACUACUAGCGGUGGGUAGAUCUGGCAAAUGAAAA